UACAGAGGCCUCGAGCGUUAGGCGGAAUCACUGGGCGUAAAGCGCACGUAGGCGGAUUGUUAAGUCAGGGGUGAAAUCCUGGAGCUCAACUCCAGAACUGCCUUUGAUACUGGCGAUCUUGAGUCCGGGAGAGGUGAGUGGAACUGCGAGUGUAGAGGUGAAAUUCGUAGAUAUUCGCAAGAACACCAGUGGCGAAGGCGGCUCACUGGCCCGGUACUGACGCUGAGGUGCGAAAGCGUGGGGAGCAAACAGG
rnacentral:rRNA from 1 species